CCGUUUUAACAAAUUAGCCAUCGCUUUUCCGGACUCACGUUAUCUGAAGUGGGGCCUUUUUAUUGCGUUUCGUCCGUUUUAUUGGUCUUAAUCGAGGGUUCUCAUCGGAGUUAAUCGUCCAUCGGCCUGGGAAAAUUGACGCUAUGUAACCUUGAAGGACCCUCACGGAGCCCCGAAGCGAUCCUGGAUUUGGGAGGUGUCGAUCCAAUCGACAUCGGAAAAAAUUCUAAAAAACUGGAAAGCCACCACGAGUGUGUGAAAAAAUUCUCUAGAUCAUUUUAGAGUUCCAUAG